CCUACGGGAGGCAGCAGUGGGGAAUAUUGGGCAAUGGAGGAAACUCUGACCCAGCAACGCCGCGUGAAUGAUGAAGGUAUUCGGAUUGUAAAGUUCUUUUCUAAGGGAAGAAGAAAGUGACGGUACCUUAGGAAUAAGCCUCGGCUAACUACGUGCCAGCAGCCGCGGUAAUACGUAGGAGGCGAGCGUUAUCCGGAAUGACUGGGCGUAAGGGGUGCGUAGGUGGUUUGGCAAGUUAGUAGCGGAACUCCAGGGCUCAACCUUGGAACCACUCCUAACACUGUUGGACUUGAGUGCAGGAGAGGUAAGCGGAAUGCCUAGUGUAGCGGUGAAAUGCGUAGAUAUUACGAGGAACACCAGUGGCGAAGGCGGGUUGCUGGACUGUAACUGACACUGAGGCACGAAAGCGUGGGGAGCAAACAGGAUUAGAUACCCGGGUAGUC
rnacentral:rRNA from 1 species